GAUGAAGAACGUAGCGAAAUGCGAUAAGUAAUGUGAAUUGCAGAAUUCAGUGAAUCAUCGAAUCUUUGAACGCACAUUGCGCCCGCUGGUAUUCCGGCGGGCAUGCCUGUUCGAGCGUCAUUUGUACCUUCAAGCUUUGCUUGGUGUUGGGUGUUUGUCUCGCCUUUGCGUGUAGACUCGCCUUAAAAUAAUUGGCAGCCGGCGUAUUGAUUUCGGAGCGCAGUACAUCUCGCGCUUUGCACUCAUAACGACAGCGUCCAAAAGUACAUUUUACACUCUUGACCUCGGAUCAGGUAGGGAUACCCGCUGAACUUAAGCAUAUCAAUAAGCGGAGGA
rnacentral:misc_RNA from 1 species